AGUAAAAGUCGUAACAAGGUUUCCGUAGGUGAACCUGCGGAAGGAUCAUUAUUGAAUAAACCUGGUAGGCUGUAGCUGGCUCUUUGGAGCAUGUGCACGUCUGCCAUCUUUAUCCAUCCACCUGUGCACCUUUUGUAGUCUUAGGGGGCUGAUGAUAGUGGCCGACUCUCGAUGGGACCCUCUGGUCCUUUCGGAUAUGGGAAAUGCUAGUUGGCUUUUCUCAAGAGGCUGCAAUCUCUCCUCUUAGGUCUAUGUCUUUUUCAUACACCAUGUAGUAUGUUGCAGAAUGUAUCUCAUGGGCCUCUGUGCCUAUAAAACUUAAUACAACUUUCAGCAACGGAUCUCUUGGCUCUCGCAUCGAUGAAGAACGCAGCGAAAUGCGAUAAGUAAUGUGAAUUGCAGAAUUCAGUGAAUCAUCGAAUCUUUGAACGCACCUUGCGCUCCUUGGUAUUCCGAGGAGCAUGCCUGUUUGAGUGUCAUUAAAUUCUCAACCCUUCCAGCUUUUGUGGCUGGUUGUGGCUUGGAUGUGGGAGAUACUGCAGGCCUCUGUAUUUGAGGUCAGCUCUCCUGAAAUGCAUUAGCGGAACUGUUUGCGGACCCGUCACUGGUGUGAUAAUUAUCUACGCCAACGAUGACCGCUCUCUAUGUGUUCAGCUUCUAACUGUCUCUCUGUGGACAACUUUUGAACCUUUGACCUCAAAUCAGGUAGGACUACCCGCUGAACUUAAGCAUAUCAAUAAGCGGAGGA
rnacentral:rRNA from 1 species